AAACCCUGAUGAACUUUUUGGC
rnacentral:miRNA from 1 species